GUGGAGGUUUGUUAAAGGAAGACCUGGGUUAAGCCGUGCCUCCAUCAAUCUCAAGAUAUGGGACCUCAGGGAAGGGAGGGGAGGUACCGCCAAGGACGUGUGCACCUGAGCUGUCACCUCAGUUCUUCAUCUGUAAGCCAGAUGCCAAGUCAGCCUGGGAGAGAAGCGUCUCUCAGCCAGGAUCCCUGACAAAGAUACACCUGCUCCAUGAGGAAGUCUUAGGUGCUUUAUGCUCAGCCUUCACCACAAAA